rnacentral:rRNA from 1 species
CCGCGUGAGGGAUGACGGCCUUCGGGUUGUAAACCUCUUUCAGCAGGGAAGAAGCGAAAGUGACGGUACCUGCAUAAGAAGCGCCGGCUAACUACGUGCCAGCAGCCGCGGUAAUACGUAGGGCGCAAGCGUUGUCCGGAAUUAUUGGGCGUAAAGAGCUCGUAGGCGGCUUGUCACGUCGAUUGUGAAAGCUCGGGGCUUAACCCCGAGUCUGCAGUCGAUACGGGCUAGCUAGAGUGUGGUAGGGGAGAUCGGAAUUCCUGGUGUAGCGGUGAAAUGCGCAGAUAUCAGGAGGAACACCGGUGGCGAAGGCGGAUCUCUGGGCCAUUACUGACGCUGAGGAGCGAAAGCGUGGGGAGCGAACAGGAUUAGAUACCCUGGUAGUCCACGCCGUAAACGGUGGGAACUAGGUGUUGGCGACAUUCCACGUCGUCGGUGCCGCAUCUAACGCAUUAAGUUCCCCGCCUGGGGAGUACGGCCGCAAGGCUAAAACUCAAAGGAAUUGACGGGGGCCCGCACAAGCAGCGGAGCAUGUGGCUUAAUUCGACGCAACGCGAAGAACCUUACCAAGGCUUGACAUACACCGGAAAGCAUUAGAGAUAGUGCCCCCCUUGUGGUCGGUGUACAGGUGGUGCAUGGCUGUCGUCAGCUCGUGUCGUGAGAUGUUGGGUUAAGUCCCGCAACGAGCGCAACCCUUGUUCUGUGUUGCCAGCAUGCCCUUCGGGGUGAUGGGGACUCACAGGAGACCGCCGGGGUCAACUCGGAGGAAGGUGGGGACGACGUCAAGUCAUCAUGCCCCUUAUGUCUUGGGCUGCACACGUGCUACAAUGGCCGAUACAAUGAGCUGCGAUACCGCAAGGUGGAGCGAAUCUCAAAAAGUCGGUCUCAGUUCGGAUUGGGGUCUGCAACUCGACCCCAUGAAGUUGGAGUUGCUAGUAAUCGCAGAUCAGCAU